rnacentral:lncRNA from 1 species
GAAAUCAUUUUAAUCUCCAAAGAUUUAUAGAUAUUGAGUGACUCCGAACAGGAAGAGGACGAAAAAAAAUAACUGUCAGCCACACCGAGUCAAACUGGACCCGCUGCUACCAUGAACAGCAAAGGUCAGUAUCCAAUGCAGCCAGCCUACCCAGUGCAGCCUCCUGGGAAUUGGUACACCCUCAGACCUUACAUCUUCCUCAGGCUCCUUCCUGUGCUGAUGCUCCACCUGCUCACUCAGAGCUCUGUCUUCCGGGCUUUGUGCACCCAGGGGCCACCACAUUCCCUACCAUGUCAGCUGCAUCCCUGGCACCUCUCUGUAUCUUCCCAUGGCCCAGUCCGUGGCUGUUGGGCCUUUAGGUUCCACAGUCCCUAUGGCUUAUUAUCCAUUGCAGCUGUCUGGAGUUGCUAAACCUUAAAGC